UCUAACAAAAAUAGUCCGGUUGAAAACCCCGUGUAACACCAUCGUGACCUUCCCUUGUCAGUUUCAUCUCUUUUGAAUCUACAUCACAUUAUCUCGGCCCAAUAAUAUCUAUAGUUUAUUAAAAGUAUUAAAACACGAAAUCGCGUAUAUAAAAGUGACGACGAGGCGGAUUAUCAACUUACCAAUCGCGUGCAACAGUAACGGUUAAUCUGCGAUAUUAUUUUUCGGCUGUUUAAACCAUCCCAGCAGUAUGAGCCAUUUGAGAAUAAGCGCAAAGGAGCAGGCCGACAAGGUACGAAUGCGGCAAAGAUAUUGUGGUUCAUCUGAGGCCUUCCGUCACGUCCAAAUUAGUGAUCCUUUAUAUGAGAGAUUAGCGGAAGUAAAAUGGAAUGAUUUGGCAACAGACCGGCAGUGCUGAGUUUGCUCGGCGUCGAGAAUAAUAUUGUAACACGAACAUGACUUUCUAAUAGCUAAAAAGUGUAUUUUGUUUCGUUAUAGACCUUUGAGCUACAAUGCCAAACUAAUAAACGGCAGAAAAAAUCACUAACUAAA